GCCCUUGUAGCUCAGUGGUAGAGCGUUGCUCUCGUAAACCGAUUACAGACAAGCAAAGGUCCAAGGAUCAAUCCCUUGCGGGGGCA